rnacentral:tRNA from 1 species
AGCCUUUUGGUCUAGCGGUUAUGACGCUGGUCUUUGACACCAGAGAUAUUGGUUCAACUUCAAUAGGGGCUG